rnacentral:lncRNA from 1 species
GUACAAAUUUAUAAGAAACCCGAAAUUACCAUCCAUUCAGUCGCUAACAAGGUUCUCAAUCUGCUUUACAGUCGAUAUAGGACUUAGUCACCAAACCAUAAAAUAUUUGGAACAAAAAGUAAAGAAUCUCAACAAUAGAGAAACAAUUGUCUCCAUUAUUAUGGAUAAAAUAUAUGGUGCAAAAUUUUGUGAGUAAAAAGAAGGUAAAUUUUACGCCAUUGAACAUGGGAGCCUUUGACAAAAUUAAAUUAUAAGAUUCUGAGAAAAAUAUUCUACCAAGUUGUAGAAGCAAUUACACCUGCUGGUUUUGAGGCAGUUGCAUCACUGUUUGAUGGAUAUUGGGCAAACAUAAAAUUCUAAACUUAAGAUCUAUGCAAUGUCACAUUGGAUACGUAUAUAGUCAACUUGUGUGAUAUUGUGAAAAGUUAUUUUGUUAUUUGAUUCAGUGCAUAUACAAUAACUUCUUGGGGGGAAAAGUGUUUGAAAUGUCCUUUGUUUGAUGAUGAAGAAAGGAUUGCUGAAUUUAUUGUUGUAAAAAAAUUAUAUCCUCUCGAGCAAACAAAAUCUGUGAAGUAUGCAUAUAAAUUGAAUGACGAAAGUUCUUAACCCUCACCCGAUUUAAAAACAAACAAACUCAAGCUAGCAGAUGCCUUGUUCCAUGAAAGUACCAUUUAUGGUCGUGAAUUUUAUGCAAAGAAUGAUUACCCUGAAUUCCAAACAAUAUUUCCGAGUAGGUAAAGAAGUUGAGAUCUGAGAAGAAAUGAGCUCUAUGAUACUAAUUGGCUUUGAAAUAUAUAUUUAUUAAAUGAUAA